UACAGGGGGUGCAAGCGUUGUUCGGAAUUAUUGGGCGUAAAGCGCGUGUAGGCGGACCACUAAGUCUGGUGUGAAAUCCCUCGGCUCAACUGAGGACGUGCAUUGGAUACUGGUGGUCUUGAGUCCUGGAGAGGGUAGCGGAAUUCCCAGUGUAGAGGUGAAAUUCGUAGAUAUUGGGAGGAACACCGGUGGCGAAGGCGGCUACCUGGACAGUGACUGACGCUGAGACGCGAAAGCAUGGGUAGCAAACAGG
rnacentral:rRNA from 1 species